AACGUAGGAGGCGAGCGUUAUCCGGAUUUACUGGGCGUAAAGCGUACGCAGGCGGCUUCGUUAGUCGGAUGUGAAAGCUCCUGGCUUAACUGGGAGAGGCCAUUCGAUACUGCGGGGCUUGAGGUUGGGAGAGGGGUAUGGAAUUCCCGGUGUAGUGGUGGAAUGCGUAGAUAUCGGGAGGAACACCAGUGGCGAAGGCGGUACCCUGGCCCACACCUGACGCUGAGGUACGAAAGCGUGGGUAGCAAACAGG
rnacentral:rRNA from 1 species